rnacentral:rRNA from 1 species
UACGAAGGGGGGCUAGCGUUGCUCGGAAUCACUGGGCGUAAAGGGUGCGUAGGCGGGUCUUUUAAGUCAGGGGGUGAAAUCCUGGAGCUCAACUCCAGAACUGCCUUUGAUACUGAAGAUCUUGAGUUCGGGAGAGGUGAGUGGAACUGCGAGUGUAGAGGUGAAAUUCGUAGAUAUUCGCAAGAACACCAGUGGCGAAGGCGGCUCACUGGCCCGAUACUGACGCUGAGGCACGAAAGCGUGGGGAGCAAACGGG